rnacentral:rRNA from 1 species
AGUGAACGCUGGCGGCAGGCCUAACACAUGCAAGUCGAACGGCAGCACAAGAGAGCUUGCUCUCUGGGUGGCGAGUGGCGGACGGGUGAGGAAUGCAUCGGAAUCUGCCCAUUUGUGGGGGAUAACCUCGGGAAACCGGGACUAAUACCGCAUACGACCUACGGGUGAAAGCAGGGGAUCUUCGGACCUUGCGCAGAUGGAUGAGCCGAUGCCGGAUUAGCUAGUUGGAGGGGUGAAGGCCCACCAAGGCGACGAUCCGUAGCUGGUCUGAGAGGAUGAUCAGCCACACUGGGACUGAGACACGGCCCAGACUCCUACGGGAGGCAGCAGUGGGGAAUAUUGGACAAUGGGCGCAAGCCUGAUCCAGCCAUGCCGCGUGUGUGAAGAAGGCCUUCGGGUUGUAAAGCACUUUUGUUGGGAAAGAAAAGCAGCCGGUUAAUACCCGGUUGUCAUGACGGUACCCAAAGAAUAAGCACCGGCUAACUUCGUG